rnacentral:lncRNA from 1 species
AUGCAAUCAGCAUGCUGAUUAAGGUUGCUUGGUUUUUUACUAAACAUUAACUGAAUGAAAACGGGUAGUCCUUGUUCUGCUUGGGGGGCUUUAAGGAAGCAAAUGGACUUUCAGAACAGAGAUUGUCAAUAAAGGUUCUGACACAACCACUUUGCUCGUGCAGAUCCUCUUUUUAAAAUUCACAGGAAAUCAGAUCAUCAGGUAUCUCUGCUGAGGAAGCUAAUUUUAGAGAGACAAUGUAUACAAAGUACUUGGCACAAAGGCCAAUGUACUAAAUGCUCCAGGAAUAUAACUACAGGCACUCCUAAUUACUGAAUGAAUAUUCUUCUUGAGCUCUGGAUGUGUCCUCAUGACACAGACCACACUGGACACCAACUCAGAUAUUGGGGGAAGGUUUCACGACCGUUAAGUGCAGAUGUGCUGAUCACUGGGCCCCUUGAUACACAGCGGCUAAGCUCUCCUCUCAAGCUGGUGGGGCUGAUGCUGCCUUGAAGUGCUGAGAGAAGCCAUGGCAAUUCACGGCAAGGUCUUUAUUGUUAGAACUCUUGCAUCAUGACAUCUUUAUUCAUGUGAAAAUACAGG